rnacentral:rRNA from 1 species
AGAUGUUGGGUUAAGUCCCGCAACGAGCGCAACCCUUGAUCUUAGUUGCCAUCAUUUAGUUGGGCACUCUAAGGUGACUGCCGGUGACAAACCGGAGGAAGGUGGGGAUGACGUCAAAUCAUCAUGCCCCUUAUGACCUGGGCUACACACGUGCUACAAUGGACGAUACAAACGGUUGCCAACUCGCGAGAGGGAGCUAAUCCGAUAAAGUCGUUCUCAGUUCGGAUUGUAGGCUGCAACUCGCCUACAUGAAGCCGGAAUCGCUAGUAAUCGCGGAUCAGCAUGCCGCGGUGAAUACGUUCCCGGGCCUUGUACACACCGCCCGGCACACCACGAGAGUUUGUAACACCCGAAGUCGGU